rnacentral:tRNA from 1 species
UGAGGUUUAAGUUAACGAAACUCUCUGCCUUCAAAGCAGACAAUAGGUAACAUAUCACCGCCUAACCUCAAA